rnacentral:pre_miRNA from 1 species
CAAUUACUCCCUCCGUUCGGAAUUACUUGUCACAAAAAUUGAUGUACCUAGAUGUAUUUUAGUUUAGAUAUAUCCAUAUUCGAGACAAGUAAUUCCGAACGGAGGAAGUACGUG